GCCCUUUUUCUUCCUCAGUCUGCUUCUUUUCUUUUCAGAAAACAUAUAAAAAAUGGUUUGAGUUCAUCAUUCUUUGGAGUUUUAUUUCGUCUAUUUUCAAGUGAAAAAAUCCAAAGAAAAUUACCAAAAGGCAGUGUUUUAUUCAGUUCAAGCUCGUGAUUUCCUGUUGAGAUUUAGCUGUUGUUUCUCUUGUCCGGAGUUUGGGAUUCGAAGCGUCGUCGACGAUUCUUUAUUAUUGGAAAAGGCUUGCAUCUUUCAGGUUCUUGGCUUACCAUUUCCUCUUGUCUGAUAUGUUAUUCAAAUGAUAAUAAAAAAAAUGUUGCUUUCUGUUGGAUUUAGACGAAUUAAAUGCCUAAAAUUCUGUCAGUUUGAUAUGAUGAAUGUGCUCUGUUUUUAAAUCUUUUAGAUACAUCUUGCUUUUGUUGAGAUUAAGAGUGAGUCGAUUUUCUUAACUUUCUUCAUAAGGUUUUCUGUUUGGUCUCAGCCUCGUUCGUUUGGUUUAAGGUGCCGAAAAUUAAGUAUCGUUAUUCUCAUUCGAAAAUCUGACCCCUUUAGGGUGUUGUCAUUGAAUCAAAUGUAUCAUUAUUUUCGAACAGAGAUGUCAAGUGACUCUAAAUGGCUGCUGGUACUCGUAUGUGCUUGAUUUUGUGUUGUUCUAUGUAAUUAAUAGAGUAGUUUGAGACUCAAAAAUCAAUUAUUGUCAUAUGUGCUUUAGUGUGUGAUCUAAACUUUAGUUUCAUGUAUGCUAGUGUUUCUCCAUGACUGUAUGUGCUCAACCAAGAAUAUGUAAAACACUAAAGAUUAUGAAUGAGGCAGCAUAGCAAUGGGAAGCUCUAACGUUGGUUGCCUCCCAUCCGCGUGCCAAUGAUUUCUCAGUAUCUGCUACUGUCAAAGAAAGAACCCUUCUCCGAUUUUGCUUACCCACAAACCUUCACCUGACUCUUGCACUUAGAAAUUCUAACAUCUCUCGUUCAUUGACACAUGAAUUCACUGCAUUUUCCAGAGAUUUCAUUUCACUCAUAUUCAUUCUCAUCUUCAGUAGAGAAAACCUCUGAAAUUUUAGCUUUAAAAACUUCAAUUGAACUGCAAUUGCUGCUCUGCUACUCCUGUGAUGUUUCCUGCGCUCUUUUGCUUGACUAUUUUAGACUCUUAAUGUUGUUGUCGAGGUACUCUUCGUACUUCUGAUUAUAUACAUUUCUCACUUUGAAUCCAUGAAGGCAUGACUGCUAAGAAGUGUUCAGCUUUCGAAGUGUAUGUUUCUCUG
rnacentral:lncRNA from 1 species